UAGGGAAUCUUCCACAAUGGACGAAAGUCUGAUGGAGCAACGCCGCGUGAGUGAAGAAGGUUUUCGGAUCGUAAAGCUCUGUUGUUGGUGAAGAAGGAUAGAGGUAGUAACUGGCCUUUAUUUGACGGUAAUCAACCAGAAAGUCACGGCUAACUACGUGCCAGCAGCCGCGGUAAUACGUAGGUGGCAAGCGUUGUCCGGAUUUAUUGGGCGUAAAGCGAGCGCAGGCGGAAAAAUAAGUCUGAUGUGAAAGCCCUCGGCUUAACCGAGGAACUGCAUCGGAAACUGUUUUUCUUGAGUGCAGAAGAGGAGAGUGGAACUCCAUGUGUAGCGGUGGAAUGCGUAGAUAUAUGGAAGAACACCAGUGGCGAAGGCGGCUCUCUGGUCUGCAACUGACGCUGAGGCUCGAAAGCAUGGGUAGCGAACA
rnacentral:rRNA from 1 species